rfam:Brachypodium distachyon strain Bd21 chromosome 2, whole genome shotgun sequence.
CAGGGUACCCUUUGACCCUUCUAAGUUCAACCAAAUGAAUUAAAAUUUUAAAAUGACAUAACUUUUUUAAAAAUAGUUCAUUUGUUUGAACUAACGAGGGUCACAGGGUAUCCUG